GGUAGUCAAGAUGAGAAUUCUAAGGUGAGCGAGCGAACUCUCGUUAAGGAACUCGGCAAAAUGACCCCGUAACUUCGGGAGAAGGGGUGCUCUUUAGGGUUAACGCCCAGAAGAGCCGCAGUGAAUAGGCCCAAGCGACUGUUUAUCAAAAACACAGGUCUCUGCUAAACCGUAAGGUGAUGUAUAGGGGCUGACGCCUGCCCGGUGCUGGAAGGUUAAGAGGAGUGGUUAGCUUCUGCGAAGCUACGAAUCGAAGCCCCAGUAAACGGCGGCCGUAACUAUAACGGUCCUAAGGUAGCGAAAUUCCUUGUCGGGUAAGUUCCGACCCGCACGAAAGGCGUAACGAUUUGGGCACUGUCUCAACGAGAGACUCGGUGAAAUCAUAGUACCUGUGAAGAUGCAGGUUACCCGCGACAGGACGGAAAGACCCCGUGGAGCUUUACUGUAGCCUGAUAUUGAAAUUCGGCACAGCUUGUACAGGAUAGGUAGGAGCCUUUGAAACGUGAGCGCUAGCUUACGUGGAGGCGCUGGUGGG
rnacentral:rRNA from 1 species